AUUGAACGCUGGCGGCAUGCUUUACACAUGCAAGUCGAACGGCAGCGCGGGCUUCGGCCUGGCGGCGAGUGGCGAACGGGUGAGUAAUACAUCGGAACGUGCCCAGUAGUGGGGGAUAGCUCGGCGAAAGCCGGAUUAAUACCGCAUACGGCCUGAGGGUGAAAGCGGGGGAUCUUCGGACCUCGCGCUAUUGGAGCGGCCGAUGGCAGAUUAGCUAGUUGGUGGGGUAAAGGCCUACCAAGGCGACGAUCUGUAGCUGGUCUGAGAGGACGACCAGCCACACUGGGACUGAGACACGGCCCAGACUCCUACGGGAGGCAGCAGUGGGGAAUUUUGGACAAUGGGCGAAAGCCUGAUCCAACAAUGCCGCGUGUGUGAUGAAGGCCUUCGGGUUGUAAAGCACUUUUGGCGGGAACGAAAAGGACUGUGCCAAUACCACGGUUCGAUGACGGUACCCGCAGAAUAAGCACCGGCUAACUACGUG
rnacentral:rRNA from 1 species